rnacentral:rRNA from 1 species
GGCUCAGAUUGAACGCUGGCGGCAGGCCUAACACAUGCAAGUCGAAUGGUAACAGGAAACAGCUUGCUGUUUCGCUGACGAGUGGCGGACGGGUGAGUAAUGUCUGGGAAACUGCCUGAUGGAGGGGGAUAACUACUGGAAACGGUAGCUAAUACCGCAUAACGUCGCAAGACCAAAGAGGGGGGACCUUCGGGCCUCUUGCCAUCAGAUGUGCCCAGAUGGGAUUAGCUAGUAGGUGGGGUAACGGCUCACCUAGGCGACGAUCCCUAGCUGGUCUGAGAGGAUGACCAGCCACACUGGAACUGAGACACGGUCCAGACUCCUACGGGAGGCAGCAGUGGGGAAUAUUGCACAAUGGGCGCAAGCCUGAUGCAGCCAUGCCGCGUGUAUGAAGAAGGCCUUCGGGUUGUAAAGUACUUUCAGCGGGGAGGAAGGGAGUAAAGUUAAUACCUUUGCUCAUUGACGUUACCCGCAGAAGAAGCACCGGCUAACUCCGUG